CCCUUAGAUAUUCUGGGCCGCACGCGCGCUACAAUGGUCUUCGCAAACGGAUGCAUUCUCGAAGGAGAAUGCCAAUCUUGGAAUCUAUGCCAUGGUCGGGACAGUUGCUUGCAAUUUUUCGACUCGAACCAGGAAUUCCUUGUAAUCGUGAUUCAUCACAUCACGAUGAAUACGUCCCUGCCCUUUGUACACACCGCCCGUCGCUCCUACCGAUCGAAGAGUUAGGUGAAUUGUUUUGAUCGAUAAGAUUUGACUAUGGUCAACUCUCGUUGUGAAAUUCUGUGAAUCUGACUGUUUAGAGGAAGGAAAAGUCGUAACA
rnacentral:rRNA from 1 species